rnacentral:piRNA from 1 species
UGGGAUUACAGACCUGGUACAACACUCUUG